UACAGAGGGUGCGAGCGUUGUCCGGAAUUACUGGGCGUAAAGAGCUCGUAGGUGGUUUGUCGCGUUGUCCGUGAAAUUCCCUGGCUUAACUGGGGGGCGUGCGGGCGAUACGGGCAGACUGGAGUACUGCAGGGGAGACUGGAAUUCCUGGUGUAGCGGUGGAAUGCGCAGAUAUCGUCAAGAACACCGAUAGCGAAGGCAGCUUACUGGGCUGUAACUGACGCUGAUGCACGAAAAGUGUGGGGGAUCAAACAGG
rnacentral:rRNA from 1 species